GAUGAACGCUGGCGGCGUGCCUAAUACAUGCAAGUCGAGCGAACAGACGAGGAGCUUGCUCCUCUGACGUUAGCGGCGGACGGGUGAGUAACACGUGGAUAACCUACCUAUAAGACUGGGAUAACUUCGGGAAACCGGAGCUAAUACCGGAUAAUAUAUUGAACCGCAUGGUUCAAUAGUGAAAGACGGUUUUGCUGUCACUUAUAGAUGGAUCCGCGCCGCAUUAGCUAGUUGGUAAGGUAACGGCUUACCAAGGCAACGAUGCGUAGCCGACCUGAGAGGGUGAUCGGCCACACGGGAACUGAGAAACGGUCCAGACUCCUACGGGAGGCAGCAGUAGGGAAUCUUCCGCAAUGGGCGAAAGCUUGACGGAGCAACGCCGCGUGAGUGAUGAAGGUCUUCGGAUCGUAAAACUCUGUUAUGAGGGAAGAACAAAUGUGUAAGUAACUAUGCACGUCUUGACGGUACCUAAUCAGAAAGCCACGGCUAACUACGUG
rnacentral:rRNA from 1 species